rnacentral:lncRNA from 1 species
AUGGAAAGGGGAAGAAGAAAAAAAAAAAAAAAAGAAAAAAAAGAGAGAGAGAAGAAGAAAAAUAAGAAUCCAGCCGCUCAACCUCUUAGCAAACUUCCCAGUUGCAAAAAAGAAAAAGAAAAAAAAAUCGGAGAGGAAAUCCCCAGCCCGGCAGCACUCACCUUCCGCCCGCUGCAAGGUGCCGCCCGCUCUCUGCCCUGCCCGCUCCCCGCGGCCGCCCGGCGCCGCCUCCCCGCGUCCUCCCCGCUGCCAUUGGCUCCGGAGGGGUCCAGGGGUCCGCCCCCUCCACCAAGAGAGGAUUCCCAAACAUAUGGCAAAAGAGCUAUUUGAGAUGUCCAUGCACUGUGGCAGAUUGGGACAGAGAGCUAAUGCUGCAAACCAGAAUUUGUACUUGAGAGAGGAAUGAAUGAAAUGCAGAUCAUUUAUUUGCCUUGUAAGUACUCAGAGCGGAGAAAGUGCUCAGGGGGAAUUUCAAAGAAAUGAUUCAUCUUGCCUUGUACUUGGGAUAAACUCAGAUGGCCCAUUUUCAUUAUGGGUAGGAAAGGGUUUUCUUACAUCUCAAAAGGGUCUCCCAUUUUCAAUAUGGGUGAAAAAGGGUUCUGUGGGAGACUAGCCCCGGCCUCAAGGACCAACGUUGUUCAUUUUUUUAUACUUCAGAUGUAGAGCAGAGAGAGGAGCCCAGAUGUUGUGGGGCACAGCCUGACAGUUUAUUCUCCAUCAGCAAGACCAGCAUUGCAUUGAUGGUUGAUACCAUGCUGUGCAUCUUUGCUCCUAUGCUACUCCCUGCAUUGUGCCAGCGUGGCAAUGUGAGCACAUGGGAGGGAUCAGCAAACUUCUCCACCUAAGAUAUUUACUAAGAUUUUCAGUCAGAUCAAAUCCCCAGGUCUUGAUUGAAAUGAUGCACAGGGAAUACAGGGGCACGUGAAGUCACAGGACUGAGGGACAGUAACUUUGCUAUGGUGUAUUGAUUUAAUCACCUGCAAUCAUCUGUCCACUCUUUUAACCUACUUGAACAAUUACAGACAAGUUGGCCUCAGUCUACAAGGAAUCAGAGAUCAUUAAUAUCUUAAAGAAUUGUCACAAAUAGAGAGAAAUUUAAUGAUAAAUCUCUAAGACUUAACAGUCAGACAAUGAUUGAAAGAAGGGAAGGGAAGGGAAGGGAAGGGGAAGGGGAAGGGGAAGGGGAAGGGGAAGGGGAAGGGGAAGGGGAAGGACGAUCCUCAGCCAAAGACCUCGCUAACAAGAUUGAAAAGUUGCAAGUAAUAGCAAGAAAAACUGAAGGUGACAGUAGGUCAGCAUUCUACCACCUCGAGGUCUCUCAACCAGUAAA